UACAGAGGUCUCAAGCGUUGUUCGGAUUCAUUGGGCGUAAAGGGUGUGUAGGUGGCGCGCUAAGUCGGGUGUGAAAUUUCGGAGCUUAACUCCGAAACUGCAUUCGAUACUGGCGUGCUUGAGGACUGGAGAGGAGACUGGAAUUCAUGGUGUAGCAGUGAAAUGCGUAGAGAUCAUGAGGAAGACCAGUGGCGAAGGCGGGUCUCUGGACAGUUCCUGACACUGGAGGCACGAAGGCCAGGGGAGCAAACGGG
rnacentral:rRNA from 1 species